CCUACGGGAGGCUGCAGUGGGGAAUAUUGGACAAUGGGGGCAACCCUGAUCCAGCCAUGCCGCGUGUGUGAAGAAGGCCCUCGGGUUGUAAAGCACUUUCAGUGAGGAAGAACGCCUGGUGGUUAAUACCCAUCAGGAAAGACAUCACUCACAGAAGAAGCACCGGCUAACUCCGUGCCAGCAGCCGCGGUAAUACGGAGGGUGCGAGCGUUAAUCGGAAUUACUGGGCGUAAAGCGCGCGUAGGUGGCUUGAUAAGCCGGUUGUGAAAGCCCCGGGCUCAACCUGGGAACGGCCUCCGGAACUGUCAAGCUAGAGUGCAGGAGAGGAAGGUAGAAUUCCCGGUGUAGCGGUGAAAUGCGUAGAGAUCGGGAGGAAUACCAGUGGCGAAGGCGGCCUUCUGGACUGACACUGACACUGAGGUGCGAAAGCGUGGGUAGCAAACAGGAUUAGAUACCCGAGUAGUC
rnacentral:rRNA from 1 species